UGAACGAAACAUGGGCUCAUUUUCCCGGCAAAAAAACCCUAGCUUUCAUUUCCUUCCCGGACUUGGACUGUUCGCGAUGGUUUGAACUCCAACUCCUUGAAGUAAACCCUCAUUAAAACCUUAGGUUUGCCAUAAUAAAAAAAGAAAAAAAAAGAAAAAAUCAAUUGGAGGUUAAAGCUCAGGUUUUCAAAUUAUCGGUGCAGAGAUUCAGGCCUAGCAUUUCAUAUUCUCUGUGAAUUGAGGUUCAAAUAGAUGAUUUGAGCUUAUUAUCAAAUUAUACAAAUUCUUUCUGGAGUGCGAAAUGAUCAACCUAUUUUUGUCUGAAAACAUAUUUGUGAUUCAUGAUCAUGGUGUUGGAGGAAAAGAGAGGAUAUCAUUUUUACAGAAAUUGGAAGCCAUUAUUUGGUCUGCGAUCACACAGUCAGAGGCUCGCCUCUGGUUAUGCAACACAGUUUCUUGCAUUGAUUCAAUAACUCCUCAUGAGCAGUGUGAAUUAUUUACGGACAUUCUUAAAUCUUCGCCCCGGAAGCAUCUCAUAGCUUCUCAGUUUUUGCAAAUUCUUUUUGAUCGAAGCCCUCAAAAAGCUGGCCCUAUUAUAGCCAAGAGGAGUUUGAUGAUGCGGAAGUUUUUUAAAGGGAAUCCGAAACGUAUAUUGCAAUGGUUUGGAAAUUUUGGUGGUAUGGGUGAAGCCGAGCAUAGAAAAGGUGCAAAGGCAAUUUCGCAGUUUUCGUUUGUGAAUAGGGAUAUUUGUUGGGAGGAGCUUGAGUGGAAGGGUAAGCAUGGGCAGUCACCUGCAAUGGUUGCUACAAAGCCCCAUUACUUUCUCGACUUGGAUGUCCUCCAAACAAUAGAGAAUUUUCUUGAAAAUGUACCAGAUUUCUGGUCCUCAGAAGAGCUUGCUGAGUCAGUAAAAGGUGGUGAAAUCCUACUCAUAGAUUCAAAAUUCUUCAUUGAGCAAUUUAUCCAUUUGAUGUACACCAAGAACUCAGAAGAUAUAUGGGCAGUAGUAAAUGAGUUUCUAUUGGACGUAGAGUUUUCAUUUUUGUGCCGCCACCUUCUUGUACUUCUUGGUGAGAGUGAUAUUUGUCUUUUCUUGAAUUCUUUUGGUAAAUUUCUUGCCUCAAGAAAGCCAUAUAUGGAGAAUAAAUGCAAGAAGUCUUAUUUUAGAGAUUCACAGUCCUAUUGGCUUGAAGUUUUGUUGGCAACAUGUGCUUGUUGCCCACCUCUUGAUUCAUUGCUUCUUACUAAUGCUGUUAUUAAUGAAGGCCGCCAAAUAAUGCGUCUCCUUAAUGAUGGGGACCAUGAGGCAGAAAAGGAUGGGGUUGAAGAACUUUUGGAUACUUGUGGAAAUUUGAACCCUGGUCACCAUUUGGUACUUGCAAAAGAAUGUCUAAACAUGGAGAAAUCUGAAGUUGUGAAAUGGCUUGGGCUCGAGGCUUGGGUGGUCCAUUAUUGUCUAUUAAAGGAGUCAGAUGUGUGUGAAUCAUGGGAGGCUCUCUUUUCAACGAAUGGGAUUGGUUUUCGAAAAUCACGUAGUUACUCUUUGGUUGAUUCUGAUGGGCUUUCGAGUGGUAGUGAUGGGGAAUUGGGUAAGGUGAAGAGGAAGAAGAGAGAGAAAAGAAGGAAAAAAAGGAGGAAAAAUAAUUUCAAGGAUAGGUCUAUGGAAUUUGGAGAUUUCAGUGAAUUGGGGGAUACAGAAUCAGGAAUCGGGAGUUGGUUGCUUUCAACUGAUGGUUAUUCUUGUGCAUGGGGCAAGGCAGACUUACCUGAGCACCUGGCAAAAUACUGCUUUUCCUCAUGGUUGAAGUGGGUUAUUUUCAAAUGGUUUUCUGGGUCUCGAGUUUCAUGAGAAGAAUGCCACUAUGUGACUGACUGUCAAUAGUAAUGGCAGAGCUUUAUAGAGAGCAUUACAUGCAUACACAUGUACAUUAUGCAAUCAUAUAUUUUGAGCUUUCUUGUUGCAUAGGAGCUUGAGCAAUAGAGGUUGAGAUUAAUCGGGUUCCUCAGAGAUUGUGUGAUCAAUGUCACGGACAGAACUAAACGAUUGGUCACGAAUAUCAGGAAAGAAGCUCGAGCGUUUGGAUUUUCUGUACGUUUCGCCAAUGUGCACCAUAGGGAGCCCAAACAGCAGUGGUAUAGUCAUAGCCAAGGUAUUUCCCAAUGGCAAUUUGAGGACUAGACGCAAACGUAAUGUCAUUAGUGGUGAAACAUUCUUGGGUUAGAUUAGCCGAGGAGCCAGCCACUACAAACUGUUUGCCUAGCCAAAGGCUGAAGUUCGGGCCAUACUGUUUGGAGAGAUGGGAUGAUGACCUGUAAAGUGGAGGUUUUAGGAGGGAUAAAUGUGCAAUAACUGGCAAGGUCGAGGCCCAGGAGGAAGGUUAACAAAUGAGGAUUUUAUUUUGAUUGCAUACAAGGUGGCCAAGAAUAUGGAGAAAGUUAGAAUCAAUGUAUGCUCCAUGGAUUUUGGUUUUGAGAGACUUCCAACAAAUGGGUUUUGAAUUAUCGCUAUUUCAGACAAAGAUUGGUUUUGUUUUUUUUAUUUUUUUCUCAUUCACUUUCUUUUUUCCUAUUCAAAGAGAAGAAUGGAUUUUGAUUUAUCUGAAAACCAGAUAAAAGUAUUUUUGCUUGGCCAAGUAGCUUUUCAUUUUAUUCAAUGAGAGACUAUAAAGAGGAUAUUGGAACAAAAUGAGAUCACUGUGAAAACUUUGCAGCUCCUACAUACCAAACCUAUAUUUCCUUGAUGAAUCUAGACAGCUUAGCUGAGUAGGAUUCAGGUUCAUGGAUUUUGCAGCAUAUAACAAUACCUUUAAGGAGCAAUUUCAAAAGACAAUGAGGUCCACAAUCCUCGGUCUAAUUAUACAACAUCACAAGAAACAGCAGCUAAAGAAGUAUCAUUUCAACCUGAAAUCUUACAACCAAAAAACUCCACCAUUCAAGAUCUAAAGCUAAAGCAUGCUCAUUGUAGAUCGGAAAAGAACACUACCCAAUAUGCAUUUAGAAUGCAUGUCCAAAACAAAACAAUUUUAGUUUGUAAAGAAUUCAUGAAGAAAUACUAGAUUUUCAUGGGCAAAGGAUGCAAGC